AUUAAUGAACAUUCUCCUUAGAAGUCUGGAGAACUGACCCAAGAAGAAGGACCAACAAUUCAGGCCCAGGAAAGCCCACAACUCCACAGGGGAACCAGGACUGCAUGGCUUCGAAUCCCAGCCCUCCCCACUCAGGAAACAUUGCUCCCCAAACGGCACGGAUUUUUGGACGCCUCCACCUUAAGACAGCUACUUCAGCCAGAACGUGGGACAGGCACUAACGGGAUAUCACCCUUGGGGAUAAACACGCUCCAGUUUCCUGUGGACGGUAGAAAAGGAAAGAACAGGAGAAGCUGCCAAAGGGAUGGGGUGUAGGAAGCUCAUCCUUGCACGUUUAGACUAGGGAAGAAGAGAAUAUUAGGGAUGGGGGAGGGGGGAGGAUGGGAAGUGUAGUUUUUCCCCUUCCUUCCUUUCAUUUCAGAUCCCAUUAGUGCUUUUAUUUCUUUGAUUUUGAAAACUAUUUCCCUUUCCUGAAUCUGGAUGCGGGAAGGGAGCGAGCUCAAGGAAAUGAUGAGCAUGGAUGAGAGCCAGGGGACAGGAGAUAUGUCCUGGGAACUCAAACUCUGCUGCUUCGCCACUGUCUCCGAGAGAGAUGCCCUGAGCCUUAGCCCAAUGUAAAGGGAGC
rnacentral:lncRNA from 1 species